rnacentral:lncRNA from 1 species
UUUCAUUUUUCACAUCAUCUAUCUGUUUUCAAAAUUUCCACAAUUUAUAUUUUUUAAAGUUUUUGUUCGUCUCAUACCAAAAAUGUUUGCUUUAAUUAUUAUUAUAUGAUGGAAAUUUAAAGGGUGACAAAUAAAAUGCAGGUCAUAUUAUUAGUAGGGACCAAGCUACAAGUGAUUAUAACAAAGAUGGGACUAAGGAUUCAUGAAAGAGGAGAAGUAGUGAAAGGAGUCCCUGUCGUUCAGCCUGGGGAUCACCUUUUUUGGUUCAAUCGUCCUCGUCUCAUUAAGGAUUCAUGAAAUAGGAGAAGUAGUGAAAGGAGUCCCCGUCGUUCAGCCGGGGAAUCACCUUUUUUGGUUCAAUCGUCCUCGUCUCAUUCUUUAUCUCAUUAAUUUUGUCCUCUUUCAGGUAACCCUUUUUUUUUUAAUCAAUAGUUCAACUUCGUUA